AUACGGAGGGCGCGAGCGUUACUCGGAGUCACUGGGCGUAAAGCGUCCGUAGGCGGUCGGGUAAGUCGGGUGUGAAAGCCCCGGGCUCAACCUGGGAAGUGCACCCGAUACUGCUCGACUCGAGUGCGGGAGAGGAUGGCGGAAUUCCCGGUGUAGCGGUGAAAUGCGUAGAGAUCGGGAGGAACACCAGUGGCGAAGGCGGCCAUCUGGCCCGCAACUGACGCUGAGGGACGAAAGCGUGGGGAGCAAACAGGAUUAGAUACCCCAGUAGUCC
rnacentral:rRNA from 1 species